UACGGGGGGGGCAAGCGUUGUUCGGAAUUACUGGGCGUAAAGGGCUCGUAGGUGGCCAACUAAGUCGGACGUGAAAUCCCUCAGCUUAACUGGGGAACUGCGUCCGAUACUGGACGGCUUGAGUUUGGGAGAGGGAUGCGGAAUUCCAGGUGUAGCGGUGAAAUGCGUAGAUAUCUGGAGGAACACCGGUGGCGAAGGCGGCAUCCUGGACCAACACUGACACUGAGGAGCGAAAGCCAGGGGAGCAAACGGG
rnacentral:rRNA from 1 species